AACGCUGGCGGCAAGCUUAACACAUGCAAGUCGUGCGAAUUAAUAUUAGCGGCGAACGGGUGAGUAAAAUAUAAGAAUUUGCCUUAUAAUAAAAAAUAGUAUAUAGAAAUAUAUAGUAAUGUUUUAUAAAUCCUAAUGGAUAAAAUACGAGAAAGUCGUAUGUUAUAAGUGAAGCUUAUAUCGGAUUAGCUAGUUGUUAAAUUAAAAGUUUAACAAGGCUGUGAUCCGUAGCUGGUCUGAGAGGAUGAACAGCCACAUUGGGACUGAGACACGGCCCAAACUUCUAAGGAAGGCAGCAGUGGGGAAUAUUGGACAAUGAGCGAAAGCUUGGUCCAGCUAUGUCGCGUGUGUGAAGAAGGCCUUAGGGUUGUAAAACACUUUCAAUAAAGAAAGAAGAAAAAUAAUAAUAAUAAUUAUAUUUUUUUGACGGUAUUUAUAAAAGAAGCACCGGCAAACUUCGUGCCAGCAGCCGCGGUAAUACGAGGGGUGCUAGCGUUAAUCGAAAUUACUGGGCGUAAAGGGUGUGCAGGAUGUUUUAAAAUUUAAUUAUUAAAGCUAAUAAGCAUAACUUAUUAAAAUAAUUAAUAAUUAGAACUUGAGUAUAAAAGAAGAAAAUAGAAUUUUAGGAGUAGCAGUGAAAUGCUUAGAUACUUAGAAGAAUACUAAUGGCGAAGGCAUUUUUCUAUUUUAAUACUGACUCUAAUACACGAAAGCAUAGGGAGCAAACAGGAUUAGAUACCCUGGUAGUCUAUGCAGUAAACGUUGUCAACUAUUUAUUAAUUAACAUAUUUAUUAUUUAAAUUUUAAUGUAUUAAAAAUAUGUAUUAUUAGUGAAAAAGCUAACGCGUUAAGUUGACCGCCUGGGGAUUACGACCGCAAGGUUAAAACUCAAAUGAAUUGACGGGGGCUCGCACAAGCGGUGGAGCAUGUGGUUUAAUUCGAUACAACACGAAAAACCUUACCUACUCUUGACAUCCAAAGAGUUUAUUAGAAAUAAUAAAGUCUUUAUUUUUUAAAGCUUUGUGACAGGUGCUGCAUGGCUGUCGUCAGCUCGUGUUGUGAAACGUUGGGUUAAGUCCUAUAACGAGCGCAACCCUUAUCUUAUAUUAUUAAAAUAAUUUUAAGAAACUGCCAAUGAUAAAUUGGAGGAAGGUGAGGACGACGUCAAGUCAUCAUGGCCCUUAUGAGUAGGGCUACACACGUGCUACAAUGAAUAAUACAAAAAGUAUUGCUAAAUAGUGAUAUUUUGCCAAUCUUAAAAAUUAUUCUUAGUUCGGAUUGAAAUCUGCAACUCGAUUUCAUGAAGUUGGAAUCGCUAGUAAUCGUAAAUCAGAAUGUUACGGUGAAUACGUUCUCGAGCCUUGUACACACCGCCCGUCACACCAUGGAGGUAAUUUGUAUCUUAAAUAAUUUAAAUAUUAUCAAGAUAUGAAUUGUAACUGGGGUGAAGUCGUAACAAGGUAGCUGUAGGGGAACCUGUGGCUGGAU
rnacentral:rRNA from 1 species